rnacentral:lncRNA from 1 species
UGCAUUUUGCAAACAUUAGCAGCUCAGCUCAAUUUUUUCUCUCUGCAGAGUUUGUGCUAUGAAGUCCCACGCACCGAGGCUGGAUGACACCCCGAGCCCGGGGCUGUGUGUGCCGCAGGAGUAGGCCCUGGCUGUGUCCAAGGACCAGUGUGGCACGGUACCCUGGCGGGAGGGGCCUCCCUGACGGAUGCCUGUGCCCAGCCUCUUGCUCAGGACGUCAGCCCUGGGGGACCAAGGACGCCGCCCCCCAAGGUGCUGAGAAGCACUGGGCUCAUGUGAGCGAGAAGGGGACUCCACAGAGCUUCCCAAGGGUAAGGCUGUGUGCAUUCUCUCGUUGCCCAGGACAGACUGCCUGGCAGGGGCCAAGCAAGUGGGUGAGGGAGGGAAGAUGGGGGGAAGAAAGGAGGAAGGAGGAAAAAAGGAAAGAAGGGAGGGAGGGGAGAAAAAAGAAAAGGAAGAAAGGAAGGAAGGAAGGAGAGAAAAAAGCAGAAAAGAGAAGCCAGGUCCUGUUGUGAGUGCUUAUCAUGUACCAACACCAGGCCUGAGGACAUUCUCACCACUGUGGUUUUGCCACUAAGGGGAGAGAGUUCCAGAGAGGUUAAUUUCGCUGCCCAGGGUCGCACAGUGAUGAGGCAGAGACCCUGGGCCAUGUCGCUGCCCGCGAUCCACACGUAAGCCUCUGCCCAUCCCUCCCAGCCCUCGGACUGCUGAGACCCCA